GUUAGGUAAAUUUUAGUAGAAUGACUGGUUAAGGUAUAGCUGAAAAUAUUACUAUAUAAAUUAGCGGCAAACAAGAAGUAAGCUGGGAUUCGAAAGUAAG